rnacentral:lncRNA from 1 species
CUAAUCAGCCAAGUCGCCACGGCUAGCACAAUGGAAAUUCAUGUACAGAAGUCAACAAUGAUACGGCCUGCCCAAGAAACGCCCAAGCAACGCCUACGAAAUUCUGACUUGGACUUGAUUGCGCCAUCAGGUUACGUCCCCCAGGUAUACUUUUAUCGACGGCCAAAUUAUACUUCCCCUAAUUUCUUUGAUGCUGGUUUGCUGAAGGAGGCUCUGAAAAAGAUUCUUGUGCCGUUUCACCCCGUGGCUGGAAGGUUGCCCAGUGACGAAAGUGGUAGAACAGACAUACUAUGUAACGGAGUGGGGGUUUUGUUUGUGGAGGCGGAAACAAGUUGCGUUAUUGAUGAUUUUGGUGACUUCGCGGAAGGCUCCAAGCUUUUGCCGUAGCUUCCAGCUUUUGAUGACACGAAAGAUAAUUCUUCUUAUCCACUCAUGAUGACACAGGUACCACGAAUAUUUAAUCCCCUGCUCAAUUGAUUCAUGAGACUUGGUUUUAUUAAGUAGUCCUGUGCUGUGUGUGUUGAGUAAGUAACUCGUUUCAAAUGCGGAGGCGUUUGUCUUGCGACUAGAUUUCAUCAUAUUUUAGCAGAUGGAGCUUCAACGUACCAUUUCGUCAACUCAUGGGCUGAGAUGACGCGUGGUGUUCCUAUUAGCAUUCCACCUUUCUUUGAUCGAACCGUACUAGAUUUUGGGGUUCCAAAUUCUCCUAGAUUCCAUCACAUUGAAUACGACCCACCUCCUUCAAUGAAUACUCCUACUCAAAAUUCCGAAUCCAUUUGUACUGCAAUCCUGAAUCUAUCAUUUGAGCAAAUCAACAUUCUCAAGGAAAAAUCUAAAGAAAAUCGUGGAUCCACAUUCGAGUACACUAGACUUGAGGUCCUGGCAGCACAUAUUUGGCGUUGCGUAUGCAAAGCACGUGAGUUGUCUGAUGAUCAAGCCAGCAAGCUACACUUUCCUACAAAUGGACGUUCUAAAUUGAAUCCUCCACUCCCAUCUGGAUAUUUCGGAAAUGCAGUCUUCACCACUGCAUUGAUCGCCUUAUCAGGUAAUAUCCUAUCGGAACCACUGAAUUACACAGUAGAGAGAAUCCAUAAAGCAUUAAAGCAGAUGAAUGACAAGUAUUUGAAAUCAGCUCUUGCUUAUCUAAAGCAACAACCUGAUCCGAUAGUUUUAAGAAGAGGGGCUCACACAUAUAAGUGUCCUAAUUUUAAUAUAGUAUAUUUAGCAAACAUGCCUAUUUAUGAUGCAAAUUUCGGGUGGGGGCCGCCAAUGUUUUCAAGGGUGGUUAAUACAUAUGUCGAAGGGAUAGCGCAUAUUUAUCCAAGUCCAAGCAAUGAUGGGAGCUUGACAGUGUUUAUAAACUUGGAAACCCAUCACAUGCAGCCCUUCAAGAAGUUGUUUUAUGAGAUCUUUCAGCACCCCAAGAAUGCAAGAUCUAGAUAUUGAUAUUUCAGUGAUCAAUCAAUAUGAUAAACCAAGUUUGAGAGAAAAACGAUCAAGGGAUCCCUGGUUAGAGUGAUUGAACUAGCAGUUGAUGGCUGUAGGUAUUGUGUGAUUUCGGCUCAUUAUGGUUUUGACUUUCCACUUAUGUCUGAUUUUGAGACGGCGCAUCCUGAAUAAAACUUUUUUUUUCAUAUUUUGUUAGCUCUUUAAUUAGCAAUAUAUUAUUAGUGUUGUACACAGAAUGAGAUUGUUUUCUUCUUUAAUAUUAUAGCUCGCUACGUGAUGCCAUUACCAUGCAAAAGUUCUAAUAACAACUCAAUCUUCCAGCUACCGUAACCCUCAAGAACUUUAGAGUAUGUUGGGAAACUUAAAUUAUAAAGAUGAGCUUGAAGAAGAAACAAAACACCUUUUCGUUGUCUUUUAUUCAUCUCAUAAUCAUUACAUUUAUAGUGCUCUACAGGAAACACGAUAAUGCCAAGAAUAAGAUCAAGCCUAGCACAAUUGUUAUCUUUAUCUUGAUCUUGAUAAAUACAAAAGUGCAGCUUGAAUUAAUGAUAAGCUAAGAGAUAAGGUUGAUCACUUUAACUUUUCAAAACACCAAUGAAUGCCAAGUGUGCUGCCAUGUCAUCUAACAACUUUGAAUUCGUAUUACUCAAGUUUGGUAGCUCUGCUACAAUAUUUUCAUCAUGCCCCCUCAAGCGCAAUGUUCUGGGAAGAAUAUGUAGCUUGUCUCGCAACCGUUGAAACCUAUCAGCAGGAAGAGCUUUUGUGAAGAUGUCUGCAGGCUGAUAUUCAGUAGGGACAUAUCUCACUUCCACUCCGCCUUUGGAAAUUAUAUCUCUCACAAAGUGAACAUCAAUCUCUAUAUGUUUUGUUCUUGAAUGAUGAAUUGGAUUGGCAGCAAGUGAAGCAGCUCCAGUGUUGUCACACCAAAUAAUUGGAAUUUCAAUUAGUGGCACCUGCAACUCUUUAAGCACAGAUUGAAGCCAUAAAAUUUCUGCUGUGGUAUUUGCAAGUGCUCGAUACUCUGACUCAGUUGAAGACCUUGCUACUGCAUUUUGUUUCUUUGAACUCCAUGAGAUUAAGUUAUUGCCAAGAUAAAUAUAGUAACCUCCAGUUGAUUUUCUAUCAUCAAUAUUGUUUGCCCAAUCUGCAUCUGUAUAGCCUGUGAGCGUCAUUCUUCCUUUGGUAGUAUAAUAAAUUCCAUAAUCAGCUGUUCCUUAUAAAUAUCUAAGGAUUCUUUUACACCCAAGCCAAUGCGGUUGUAAAGGAUUUUGCAUGUACUGACUUAAAGGAUGAACAACAUAAGAAAUUUCAGGCCGAGUAAUAGUUACGUAUAAUAAGGCUCCAACGUGCUACGAUAAAGUGUAGGAUCAGAAAAUUGCUUACCACCUUCAGCUGAAAGUUUCGGUACUAUACUCAUAGGAGUAGAUGUUUCCUUGCAACCAUCCAUAUCUGUGCGCUUCAAAAGAUCACAAAUAUAUUUGUGUUGGCUAAGAUGUAGGCCAUUCUCUGUGCGAUGAGCUUCAAGACCAAGGAAAUAACUUAAUAGUCCAAGCACUUUUAAAGCAAACUGACAAUUAAGUCGUUCAAUAAUUUCUUGCACCAAACUUUAUUUACUUCUUGUUAUUAAAAUAUUGUCCACAUAAAUAAGGACAAAUAUUAUAUCCCUUCCUUGCUGCAAAAUAAAUAAUGAUGUGUCUGAUUUAGAAUUUGUGAAACCCCAGUCAAUCAAUGCUCUCUUGAGUUUUUCAAACCAAGUUCUUGGAGCCUGCUUAAGCCCAUACAAUGCUUUUCUCAAUUUACACACAUGAUUUGGUUGUGCUUUGUCGAUAAAGCCUUCAGGCUGCAUCAUGUAAACAUCUUCUACUAAGUCUCCAUUUAAAAAGGCGUUGUUCACAUCCAGUUGUAUUACACCCUAAUUUUUCAUCACAACAAUACUUAACACCAAUUGAAUUGUUGCAGCUUUAACAACAUGACUAAAAGUCUCGUUGAAAUCGAUUCCUAGGGUCUGAUGAAAUCCUUUUGCAACCAACCGAGCCUUAUAUCGCUCUAUCUGACCAUCAGCCUUUUGUUUUAUCUGAAAAACUCAUUUAUUUCCCACAAUCUUCAUGUCAGAAGUAGGUUGAACUAAACACCAUGUGUUAUUCCUAGCCAAAACAUUCAUUUCUUCUGUCAUAGCAUUACGCCAAUUGUGAUCUUCCAAAGCUUCACUAACACUGGCAGGUACACUUAUUUUGGUAUGAGAGGUUGUUAGGUAAAGUCUAGGUUUGGGUUUAAAGAUGCCGGCCUUGGCACGAGUGAUCAUUGGAUGAGUGGAUUGUGUAUGUGUUGGCUGUUGAGAAUGAGGAGUUGAACUAGGUGGUUGAGAGAUUGUGUGAUCAGCUUCUUAAUUGACAGACUCGGGGAUAGAUAAAGAUUGUGUGGUGUUUUCAGUUGCUUGGAUUUCGGUGCUUGAUUCAAGGUUGGCUUUUCCAGGUGGGCUUUCAGUGUUGUUUUCAAAAUUAGUUUCCUCAUCUUGACUUGAUGCCUGAUCUAUGACUGUUGUGUUAUAAACCAACUCUGGUGGAGAGUCUGUUGCAUGAAUAACUGAGAGAGUCUUAUCGGCUCUAGGACUUUCAAAACCUGCAAACAUAGGAGACUGAACGAGAGUACUAGAAUCAUGAUUUGGAUAACUCUUUGAGAUUUUGAAGGAGGGAUCACUUUUAAAAGGAAAACCAUAUUCAUUAAAGACAACAUGUCGCAUUACAAAAAUUUUUCCUAACUUGUGGAGACACUUAUACCCUUUAUGAACUGUACUAUAGCCUAAAAAUAUACAUUUAUCUGAUCGAAAAUCUAAUUUAUAUUUGUUGUAAUCUCGAAGAUGAGGAAAUAUAGCACAUCCAAAAACUUUUAGAAAAGAAUAAUAAGGUAUUUUAUUGUAAAGUAUUUGAAAUGGUGAUUUGUUUUCUAAGAUGGAAGUAGGCAUUCUAUUAAUUAAAUAAACAUAUAUUUGAAAAACAUCCCACCAAAAAGUGAGUGGCAUGCCAGCUUGUGCCAAAAGUGUUAAACCAGUCUCUACAAUGUGUCGGUGUUUUUGCUCCACCAUACCAUUUUGAUGAUGUGUGUGUGGGCAAGAAAGUCGGUGAAUAAUACCCUGUUCUUUUAAAAAAAUUGUAAAUGCUUGAAACUCUCCUCCACCAUCAGUUUGUAAACUUUUGAUUUUCUUUCCUAAUUGUUUUUCGGCUUGAACUUUAAAAUACUUAAAAGCUUCAAAAGCUUGUGAUUUAACUUUAAGUGGAAAUAUCCAUGUAAAACGUGUGUUGUCAUCUACAAUACUCAAAUAAUAUUUGCAGCCAUUUCCAGACAUUAAAGGUGCAGGCCCCACAAGUCAAGAUGCAAUAAUUCUAAAGGUUCUGAAGCUCUACUAUUUGAUGCUUUGAUAGUUUGCCUAUGACUUUUUCCUUGUUGACAUGCAUCACAGAAUUGAGGAACGAGAUUUUUAUUUAACUGACUUGUUUUGUUACACAAAGGUAGAAUUUGUUUUAGUACAGCAAGAUGAGGAUGUCCCAUCCUUCUGUGCAAAAGAUUUAUGAAACUACUAGGCUUGGAAUUGGAAAUAAAUUCUUGUUCAUUUACAAAACUUAUUAUUGAGCUAGAAUUGAAACAACUAAAUGGAAGAGAAGACUCAUAAGAUUUAUUGGAAAUAAUUUUUAAAUCAGAUAGAAUGGCUUGUCUUGAAAGCACUGGUAGCCGAUAUAAGCCUCUUUCACUUUAUUGCUGUAGCAGCUUCUUCCCCAUAACUUUGUCCUUAAGAGUACAAACAUUGUCACAGAAAUCAAGCAUUAGUUUAUUAUCAUAAAGUAAUUUUGAAAUGCUAAUUAAGUUCUUGGUGAUUUUGGGCACAUAUAAAAUGUCAUUAAGCAACAAUGGUUUAUGGUUUGGAAUAUAAAUAAGUGCACUGCCAAUGUGAGAUAUUGCUAAAGUUUUACCAUUACUUACUACCAGCUUCUCAUCUCCCUUAAAUUCUGACUUAAUUUGCAGAUUGUUUAAAUCAUUUGUAACAUGGUGUGUUGCUUCGCUGUCCAAAUACCAUUCAUUAUCUAUUUCUUCAGCAGGGAGCGCCAUAUAGGCAGAGGCCUAACCUGCUUGUGUUGCCUCUUGUCUUGCAGAGAACCCCCAAUCGAAGCGGAAGAAACAUUGAUAUCCUGAAUGUCCAUAUUUGCCAAAUAUCUGACAAGUUGGCCUAUUUCCACCAUGGCUGAAAUUGGUUAUUCAUCUGCCUCUACCACAUUCAUUGCCUCUGAAACUUCCUGACAUAAAGCCUUUUCUUAUAACUUUCCUUUUGUGAAAAGAAGCUCCUGCAAAAUUUGCAUUGAAACUGCCUUCAGACUCAAGAUUUGCAGCAGCUAAGAGUUGCUCCAUUCGACUUUCAUGAUUGAGCAAAAGAGAGAAUACUUCAGGCAGAGAUAAAUCAUCUGUUCUUGCUGUAAUAUUUACAACCACGGGGUCGUAUUCAGUUCCUAAACCUGCAAGAAUAUAAGAAAUUAAAUCAUCUUCAGUAACAUAUUUUCCAGCCAUUGCCAGGCUAUCAGCUAAAUUUUUCAUUUUAUUGACAUAGUCGCUCAUGGUCAUAGCAUUCUUUUUUGUGGUUUGGAGUUGCAUCUUGAGCUGCAAAAUUUUAGCCCUUGACUGAGAUGCAAACAAUGUCUCCAAGGCAUUCCAAACCUCAAAAGAGGUUUUAUACUACACCACUAUACUUAAAACUGAUUCAGUUAUAGUGGACAGAAGCCAACUAAGUAAAAGCUGAUCUUGUCUCAGCCAUUGUAUAUAUUCUGGAUUUUCCACAGUCGUUACUGUUUGAUCCUCUUCUACUUGCACCAAGAAUUUAGUGGGUACAAGUUUUGCUCCAUUGAUCAAGCUUUCAAGAUUGUUACCAUGAAUGGAAGGUAGCACUUGAGACUUCCAUAUCAUAAAAUUCUGCCUAUCCAAUUUGACAGGAGUCGAAAAAUUAAAAAUUUGUGGUGUUUGGUUUACAAUAUUCAUAUUGACUAAUUUCGCAGAAUUGGAGCUCGACAUGCUCUGAUACCAACUUAAAUUAUAAAGAUGAGGUUGAAGAAUGAAGAAACAAAACACCUUUUCGUUGUCUUUUAUUCAUUUCAUAAUCAUUACAUUUAUAGUGCUUUACAGGAAACACGAUAAUGCCAAGAAUAAGAUCAAGCCUAGCACAAUUGUUAUCUUUAUCUUAAUCUUGAUAAAUACAAAAGUGCAGCUUGAAUUAAUGAUAAGCUAAGAGAUAAGGUUGAUCACUUUAACUUUCCAAAACACCAAUGAAUGCCAAGUGUGCUGCCAUGUCAUCUAAGAACUUUGAAUUCGUAUUACUCAAGUUUGGUGGCUCUGCUACAAUAUUUUCAUUAUGGAAUAGUCAACUAGCUAAAUAAAAAGGCUAACGUCCCUUGCAUUGUAAUUCAGAUGUUAUUAAGAGAUUUUUUGUUUAAUUUUCAUGACAUCUUUGAUAUAUUUUAAAACUUCUCCCAUAUGAAAUUUUAAUUUUUUUAAGCAAUUGUUAGAUUCGUUGAAUAGACAUUGUGUUUAACACUUUUUAAAGAAAUCCAGAUAUUAUUCUCGAUAAUGAAAAUGUGACACAUUUACAAACCCAACAACUUUGGAAAAUCAAAAUGAAGUCACGAGUAGAUAGAUAAACAAUAUCAAAGCCGAAGGACCAAAGAAGGAACCUAGCCACUUUACAAAAUGAAAAAAAUGAAACUACUUGGAGUUGUAUCAUCAAGUCGAAUAUGCGACAUCAGGCAAUGAUAUUUUAGCAGAAAAUGAUGUUUGCCCCAGGUCAAACCCCGAAGCGAUUGAAACGGCGUCGUUUCAGCGUUUAUUUCUUUCAUUCUGAUUUGCUACAAAACAAUGUCAUUUUGGCUUGUAUAAAGUGAAAAAACAGAACGAGUUGCUUUUACCUUCCUCUUCAUUCUCUUAAGUCUUAACCCAGCUGUUUCUCCCUCUUCGUUGCUACGGAACCCUUAAUAACCCAAGCAUCAUUUUCCUUUGCCAGCGUAUAAAGUGAAAAAAAUAGAUCCAGCUGCUUCUUCUUUCCUCUUCGUUUUCUUAACACAAACAUCAUUUUCCUUUGUCUUGAGUUAACUCUAGAUGGAAUAGUUAGAUCUGGAUUAAAACUAUGUUUUUUUUUUCCCGUGGCCGGCUGAAGAAGUCAAAGGCCCAUAUCAAAAUGCCAGUUGUGAGAAAUUUUAAGGUAGCACAGUACCAAGAUUUAGUAAGAUAUGAUUGGAUGCGGGUAGAAAUAACACAGCACAAAUGUCACACGCAAGACCGCAAAAUCCAAGUCUUUCAAAAGCAAAUUUGGUUGUGGGCGUUUGUGAUUUGGUUCUUCAGUGGCUUACAAUUAUCAAUCAAGCUCUAUAUACUUCUCAUUCCAUUCUUUUUAUGCCAAUAAUUUAAAAUAUGCAUGCAAAGAUUCAUUUUCACUAUUGUACAGUAGCCACACAGAAUAAAGAACAAUUGAAAAAAGAAUUUGGAAUUUUCGUUCUACUUUAAUUUGGCCGCUUUUUAUGCUUGAGCUACUUCCCUUUAAUCUGUUUGUUUGCUUUUAAUCUGAAAUGAGGAGAAUGAAAACGAAGAAGCAACUUAGUUCUGUAAGUUCUGUUGAUGCUUUUGUGAUUUAUCCAAAGCCAAACGUCAUCGUUUCAUAGCAAAUAAAAAAAAAAAUUAAUGACAAAACGGCGUCGUUUUAGCCAAUUUCAAGGUUUGACCUGGGGCAAACAUCAGCGCUGUAUUUUAGCCCCUUACAUAGUUACACAAUGGGGCGACGCAAGCCCAUUUUAGCAACGGAGGCUGAAGUUUUCUUCUUUCAAGGGUACCCCUCUAUUUCUCUUAUAAAACCAGUCUUGUUUCGUAUUCAUAAUUUUUUCCUUCAUAUUAAAAGUAAAAAUUUAACUAAUUAUGUUCACCUCUUGUUAUUUUACUCUGUUAAUUUCUCUAUUAGAAACACCAUAAACUUACAAACAGAAGAAAAAAAGGUUGAUGGUGGGAGCGAGUUCACGAUAAAAGAGAAAUAGAGAGGUAAACAAAUGAGAGAGAGAACGAGAUAUGAACUUAUGAAGAGAAAGAGAAGAUAGGUGCAAAUAUUUUAGGGAUUUAUUGAAUAAGAAAUUAGGAUUAUUUUUAGAAUUAAAAUAAGGGUAUAAGAACAUUUUAAUGUUUAAAUAAUUUUCGUGGGACAGAAAGAAGAAAAUGAAUUUCAAGAAUUAUUUGGAGGAUGUCAAUAAUCCAACUUAUGUGAUUAAAUAAAUUGGCCCACUUUCGUUAUUUCAUCACCAAUAUCUGAAAAAAAAAUGAUAGCAAAAUUUAUUGUUUUUAAUUAGAGAUGGCCAAUGGGCCAGGUAAUAUGUGGCACUGCACGAACAUGGUACGUGCCGAUACAACACGGCAAAACAUGAGCAUAUUUUGGUAGGACAUGCAACACAACAUGACACAUAUGCAUGCUAGGCUGAAUUAAAAAUUUUAGGCACAUGAGCCUUAAAAGUACGACAUGAUUAAAGAAAACAAUUAAUAAUAUAUAUGAUAAUCUCUUGAUAAAUUUGGUGUGAGUUAAGAAAGAAAUUGAUCAUUAGUAGUUAAAUAGGGAAAAAAAAGAAAAAUUAAAAAAGACAACACUUCUUUGAGCAAAAGUCAUAAACAACUUUAUCAUUGAGAAUGCUGGGCUGUUUGUUUUUUAACUUAAUAAAUUAAUUGACUUAAUUUUAAUCAACUAAGUAUUAAGUCCAUUUGUUUUUUCAACUUAAUGAAAAUUUUCAGUCAUUAAGUUAUUAAGCUAAUUUUUUUUAUCUUUUUACUUAAUGCAAAAAGUCUGAAUAAUAUCGUUAAAAGAUAUUCUCUAAAAUAUCCUUAUCUAAUUAAUUAAUUUUUAAUCCUUUUGUGAAUUAAAUUUAAUAAUUAACAUUAUUAGUCAUCUCUAUAUAACGUGUGAUAAUAGAUAGUGGUAAACUAUAAUUAUCUUUAUCUUUUUAUUUUCUUCACAUUAGCAUUAUUUAUCUUCAUAAUUUUUUAUGAAUAUUUUUCAUUUAAAAACAUCAUAAACUAUAAUAAAAUUGCUUAACAUAUAUAAUAUAGAAUAUUAAAGAGUUGUAUCCAAUUGAAUAUGAUUUAAAGUAAUUUAAAUAUAUUCAUAUUUCAGACAAAAAAAAAAAAAAAACAAACGCUACCUACAUCUGUAGCAAAAACAUAAAAGUUCGUAGUUCAUCCUAUUACAAAAUUCAAGCCCAAAAUAUUUUACAUAGCGCCACAAGUCUAAAGUUCCAAAAUAGAAACACAUUUCCAAUGUUCCAAAAUGAUGUGCUUACUUGACAAAACACAAUUCAAAUUUCCAAAAUGAUAGAAGGUUGCAUCUCUUGAAUCACGACCAAUUUUUGAAAGGAUAUAUCCCUUUUUUCAGCUCGUUGGACAAGUUGAAGAACCCACGUAGCACAUCAUGUUUGGUGGCCAUAAUAUCAAUCGCAUCAAAUAUUUCUUUCUCAUUUAAGCCAACAAUCUUACGCAUUUUAUCAUAGAACUUAACUUGUAAAUCAUAUAUCUGCUUAUCAACAGUAGAAAGUACACUAAUCAACCCAUCUAAUUUGGGUACCAUGGCUGAAUGGACUCUGCCGUUGCUCUGAUUUUUGAGCACAUAUUGUGAAAUGUUUUGUCCUUGGUUCUCCUUUCCUUUUUUGGGUGGUUGGAAUUACUUGGAGCACUUUCAUUUUCAUUAGCAGGUGCUUCUGAAUUUGAGAAUAUAGAUAUGCGAAUAUAGAUAAUAUUAACAUUCAAAACCAUCAAAUGAGAAAACAAAGAGUUACGAAGCUAAAUCUACCGAGCCCAUAACAGAUCAUACAAGCAAAUAAGUAAUUUUCAUUUCUUUAUAAUGGAACCUCUACUAACUGAGGUGGGAAAAUUUAUUAACUAAAAGAAAGUGAAAAUAGUACAAGAGAGAAGAAAGAGUAAAUGCCAGCCAUAGCCAAACCAUGAAAAGACAUAUAGGCAAGAGCUAAAGAGUUACAAAGCUAAAGCUAUUGAAGCUGGACAUAAACCAAGCCCAUAACAAGUCAUAUAUAAGCAAAUAAGUAAAUAAACUAAGAAAUUAUUACAUUUAAAAUUUAAUAUAAAUAUAAAAUUAUGAUAAUUAUUAUUUAAAUAAACUAAGAACUUAUUACAUGAAGUUUCCAUUUACCAAGUAUAUCCAGGUUUUUGUUUAAUCAUCUCUAAUUAGAAAACAAAAAUAUUCCACGGUUCUUUAUUUUCUUUUAAAAAAAAAUCCUCGUAUUCUUGGUAUUCCUUCAAAUUGAAGCUAAAAUGACAGAUGAAAAUCAGAGAAUAGAAGGCCAAAGACGAACAAAAGGUUGGUCAUAAUGUGUUAAAACGACAAAUAUAUUUUUGAGAACAAAUCUAUUCAAAUUCCUAUCUACUCCUACUCCAAUUGAGAUGUGUAAGCAAGUAACGAUGUGACCUCGAUUAUUUCAAUGACUCUUUAACAACCCUAUAAAUAUAUAUUUUUAUCUGUCCUCCUAAUUUGUACAUGGGAUCAGAACCCUCAAUCAGUAGUAGUUGGCUCAAGAUUUCAGAAGAAUCCUCUCACUUCCAUAUUUACUUCCUUGUUUAAGAAAGAAAAUAAGAGUCUCUGUUCACAAGUGUUAUUUCAUCUCCUUAAUUUCUUAUUUCUUGUAUUUACUUCAUUUUUCUCUAUUCAUUAGGUCUGGAUCCGCGAAAUCCGCACCCGGCCCUUAUGCGAAUGAUAUGUGCAUUGUUAAAUUUUAAAAAAGUCGGAUGCAGAUCAGCAUCUGAUAUUUGCCACGUAAUCGGAUCCAUUUUUUAAUUAUUAAAAAAAGGAAAAGACAAAAAUAGAGUUUUUUAUUUUGAAACUGAGACAAAAACAGAGUCAGAGGCGUGUACGUUUCAUAACCUUUCUUUUUGUAUUAAAGAAAAUCCUAAUCGCAACCCGCAGCACAACACAUGAAAGCCGCCAGAGCAGAGAAGAUUAACUGCCGUCUGCCGCUGCCGUUCUAAUCAGCCAAGUCGCCACGGCUAGCACAAUGGAAAUUCAUGUACAGAAGUCAACAAUAUUACGGCCUGCCCAAGAAACGCCCAAGCAACGCCUACGAAAUUCUGACUUGGACUUGGUUGCGCCGUCCAAUUACGUCCCCCAGGUAUUCUUUUAUCGACGGCCAAAUUAUUCUUCCCCUAAUUUCUUUGAUGCUGGUUUGCUGAAGGAGGCUCUGAAAAAGAUUCUUGUGCCGUUUCACCCCGUGGCUGGAAGGUUGCCCAGUGACGAAAGUGGUAGAACCGAAAUACUAUGUAACGGAGAGGGGGUUUUGUUUGUGGAGGCGGAAACAAGUUGCGUUAUUGAUGAUUUUGGUGACUUCGCGGAAGGCCCCAAGCUUUUGCCGUUGCUUCCAUCUUUUGAUGACACGAAAGAUAAUUCUUCUUAUCCACUCAUGAUGACACAGGUACCACGAAUAUUUAAUCCCCUGCUCAAUUGAUUCAUGAGACUUGGUUUUAUUAAGUAGUCCUGUGCUGUGUGUGUUGAGUAGGUAACUCGUUUCAAAUGCGGAGGCGUUUGUCUUGCGACUAGAUUUCAUCAUAUUUUAGCAGAUGGAGCUUCAACGUACCAUUUCGUCAACUCAUGGGCUGAGAUGACACGUGGUGUUCCUAUUAGCAUUCCACCUUUCUUUGAUCGAACCGUACUAGAUUUUGGGAUUCCAAAUUCCCCUAGAUUCCAUCACAUUGAAUACGACCCACCUCCUUUAAUGAAUACUCCUAUUCAAAAUUCCGAAUCCAUUUGUACUGCAAUCCUUAAUCUAUCACUUGAGCAAAUCAACAUCCUCAGGGAAAAAUCUAAAGAAAAUCGUGGAUCCACAUUCCAGUACACUAGACUUGAGGUCCUGGCAGCGCAUAUUUGGCGUUGCGUAUGUAAAGCACGUGAAUUGUCUGAUGAUCAAGCCAGCAAGUUACACUUCCCUGCAAAUGGACGUUCUAAAUUGAAUCCUCCACUCCCAUCCGGGUAUUUCGGAAAUGUAGUUUUCACCACUGCAUUGAUCGCCUUAUCAGGUAAUAUCCUAUCGGAACCACUGAAUUAUACAGUAGAGAGAAUCCAUAAAGCAUUAGAGCGGAUGAAUGACGAGUAUUUGAAAUCAGCUCUUGCUUAUCUAAGGCAACAACCUGAUCGGACAGUUUUAAGAAGAGGAGCUCACACAUAUAAGUGCCCUAAUUUUAAUAUAGUAUAUUUAGCAAACAUGCCUAUUUAUGAUGCAAAUUUCGGGUGGGGGCCGCCAAUGUUUUCAAGGUUGGUUAAUACAUAUUUCGAAGGGGUAGCGCAUAUUUAUCCAAGUCCAAGCAAUGAUGGGAGCUUGACAGUGUUUAUAAACUUGGAAACCCAUCACAUGCAGCCCUUCAAGAAGUUGUUUUAUGAGAUCUUUCAGCACCCUAAGAAUGCAAGAUCUAGAUAUUGAUAUUUCAGUGAUCAAUCAAUAUGAUAAACCAAGUUUGAGAGAAAAUGAUCAAGGGAUCCCUGGUUAGAGUGAUUGAACUAGCUGUUGAUGGCUGUAGAUAUUGUGUGACUUCGGCUCAUUAUGGUUUUGACCUUCCACUUAUGUCAUCCUUGAUAAAAAAAAUUUCUUUUUUAAUUUCAUAUUUUGUUAGCUCUUUAAUUAGUAAUAAAUUAUUAGUGAUGUACACAGAAUGAGAUUGUUUUCUUCUUUAAUAUAAUAGCUCACUACGCGAUACCAUUACCAAAAGUUCCUAUAACAACUCGAUCUUCCAGCUACCAAACCCUCAUGAACUUUAGAGUAUGUUGGGAAUAGUCAACUAGCCAAACAAAAACGCUAAAGUCCCUUGCAUUAUAAUUCAGAUGUUAUUAAGAGUUUUUUUUUUUUAAUUUUCAUGACAUCUUUGAUAUAUUUUAGAAUUUCUCCCAUAUGAAAUUUUAAUUUUUUUUAAAAACAAUUAUUAGAUUCGUUGAAUAGGCAUUGUGUUUAACACUUAUUUAAAAAAAAAAUCCUAACAUUAUCCUCGGUAAUGAAAAUGUGACACAUUUACAAACCCAACAACUUUGGAAAAUCAAAAUGAAGUAACGAGUAGAUAGAUAAACAAUAUCAAAGCCGAAGGACCAAAGAAGGAACCUAGCCACUUUACAAAAUGAAAAAAUGAAACUACGUGGAGUCGUAUCAUUAAGCCAAAUAUGCGACAUCAUGUAAUGAUAUUUUAGCCCCUUACAUAGUUACACAAUGGGGCGAGGUACACCAUAAACUUUCUCUAUUAGAAACACCAUAAACUUACAAACAGAAAAAAAAAGAAAAAAAGUUGAUGGUGGAAGAGAGUUCACAAUAAAAGAGAAAUAGAGAGGUAAGCAAAUGAGAGAGAGAAAGAGAUAUGAACUUAUGAAGAGAAAGAGAAUAUAGGUGCAAAGAUUUUAGGGAUUUAUUGAAUAAGAAAUUCGGAUCAUUUUUAGAAUUAAAAUAGGGGCAUAAGAACAUUUUAAUUUUUAAAUAAUUUUAAUGGGCAGAAAGAAGAAAAUGAAUUUCAAGAGAUAUUUGGAGGGCGUCAAUAGUCCAAUUAACGUUAUUAAAUAAAUUGGCCCACUUUCAUUAUUUCAUCACCAGUAUUUAAAAACAAAUUUUACAGCAAAAAUUAUUGUUCUUAAUUAGAAAUGAUCAAUGGGCCAAGCGACAUAUGGCACGACACAGCACGGGCACAGUACGUGUCAGUACAGUAUGGCACGACAUAAACUCAUUUUGAUAGGGCAUGUAACACAACAUGUCACACAUGCAUGCUAGGCUGAGUUACAAACUCUAAACACUAUGCACGUGGGACUAUUUUUAGAAUUAAAAUAGGGGUAUAAGAACAUUUUAAUUUUUAAAUAAUUUUAAUGGGGCAGAAAGAAGAAAAGGAAUUUAAAGAGUUAUUUGGAGGAUGUCAAUAGUCCAACUCAUGUGAUUAAAUAAACUGGCCCACUUUCAUUAUUUUGUCACCAAUAUUUGAAAAAAAAAAUUUACAGCAAAAUUUAUUGUUCUUAAUUAGAGAUGGCAAAUGGGCCAGGCAACAUGCGGUAUGGCACGGACAUGGUGCAUGUCAAUACAACACGGCAAGACAUAAGCAUAUUUUGGUAAGGUAUGCAGCACAACAUGACACAUAUGCAUGCUGGGCCGAGUUAAAAAUUUUAGGCACGUGAGCCUUAAAAGUACGGGAUGAUUAAAGACAACAAUUGAUAAUAUAUAUGACAAUCUCCUGAUAAAUUUGGUGUGAGUUAAGAAAGAAAUUGAUCAUCACUAGUUACAUGAGGAAAAACCAAAGAAAAAAUAAAAAAGACAAUACUUCUUUGAGCAAAAGUCAUAAACAACUUUAUCAUUGAGGAUGCAAGACCCUUAUUUUUAACUUAAUGAAUUAAUUGACUAAUUUUAAUCAGUUAAGUAUUAGGUUUAUUUAUUUUUUCAACUUAAUGAAAAUUUUCAGUCAUUAAGUUAUUAAGCUAAUUUUUUUUAGCUUUUUACUUAAUCUAAAAAGUCUGAAUAACAUCGUUAAAAGAUAUUCUCUAAAAUAUCCUUAUCUAAUUAAUUAAUUUUUAAUCCUUACGUGAAUUAAAUUUAAAAUUAGCAAUAUUAGCCAUCUCUAUAUAACUUGUGAUAAUAUAUAGUGGUAGAUUAUAAUUAUUUUUAUCUUUUUAUUUUCUUCACAUUAGCAUUAUUUAUCUUCAUAAUUUUCUAUGAAUAUUUUUCAUUUAAAAACAUCAUAAACUAUAAUAAAAUUGCUUAACAUAUAUAACAUAGAAUAUUAAAGAGUUGUAUUCAAUUGAAUAUGAUUUAUGUUAUUAUAUUUUUUGAAAUGUUUAUUAUUUGUAUGGGCACAAAUGUAAAAAAUAUUAGUUUUUAGAUUUUUUAAGAUUAAAAAAAUUAAUAUUUAUUUUCUGCGAUUCAGACAAAAAAACAAACAUAUCAUUUAGCUUCAGACAUUCAGUUCUACUCAGAAUUUAAACUAAUUUAGAUUUAUUCAGAUUUCAGACAAAAAAAAAGCUACCUACGUCUGUAGCAAAAACAUAAGAUUCCGUAGUUCAUCCUAUUACAAAUAUUUAAGCCCAAAAUACUUUACAUAGCACUACAAGUCUAAAUUUCCAAAAAAAAAAAAAACACACACACACACACACACAUUUCCAAUGUUCCAAAUGGUGUGCUUACUUGACAAAACACAAUUUCAAUUUCCAAAAUGAUAGAAGAUUACAUCUCAUGAAUCACGACCAAUUUUUGAAAGGAUAUAUUUCUCUUUCCAGCUCAUUGGGCAAGUUGAAGAACCCACAUAGCACAUCAUGUUUGGUGGCCAUAAUAUCAAUCGCAUCAAAUAUUUCUUUCUCACUUAAGCCAACAAUCUUACGCAUUUUAUCAUACAACUUAACUUGUAAAUCAGAUAACUACUUAUCAGUAGUAGAAAGUACACUGAUCAACCCAUCUAAUUUGGGUACCAUGGCUUAAAUGGACUCUGUCAUUGCUCCUAUUUUUGAGCACAUAUUGUGAAAUGUUUUGUCCUUGGUUCUCCUUUCCUUUUUUGGGUAGCUGGAAUUACUGUGAAUAUAGAUAAUAUUAACAUUCAAAACCAUUAGAUGAGAAAACAAAGAGUUACGAAGCUAAAUCUACCGAGCCCAUAACAUAUCACACAAGUAAACAAGUAAUUUUCAUUUCUUUAUAAUGGAACCUCUACUAAGUGAGGUGGGAAAAUUUAUUAACUAAAAGAAAGUGAAAAUAGUGCAAGAGAGAAGAAAGAGCAAAUGCUAGCCAUAGCUAAACCAUGAGAAGACAUAUAGGCAAGAACUAGAGUUACAAAGCUAAAGCUAUUGAGGCUGGACAUAAACCGAGCCCAUCACAGGUCAUGUAUAAGCAAAUAAGUAAGUAAACUAAGAAAUUAUUACAUUUAAAAUGUAAUAUAAAUAUAAAAUUAUGAUAAUUAUUAGUUUUUUUUUAUUAUAUGAGACUAUUGCUCAAACUACAACUGAUAUUAUAGAAGACUAUAACUGAUAUUUACUAAUCAGACUAUUACUGGGAUCGACUUACAUCAAUGCCUACGGAGCUCUGCUCAAAUUUUAACCAUCACUAAUAUUCGAGGGAUGUCUAUCGACUUACAUCAAUGUCUACGGAGCUUUACCUAGAUUUUAACCCUCACUAAUAUUCGAAGAAUGUCUACUCCACUUACUCUUGGAUAAGAGAGAAGAUUACCUUGACUUAAUUAUACAAUUUAAUUAAUAAAGGAAAUACCCCCACAUUGCGCAGGGCAAGUGGCACGAUAAUUAUUAGUUAAAUAAACUAAAAACUUAUUACAUGGAGUUCCCACUUACCAAAUAUAUCCAGGUUUCUGUUCAAUCAUCUCUAAUUAGAAAAUGAAAAUAUUCCACAGUUUUUUAUUUUCUUUUGAAAAAGAAAAUCCUCGUUUUCUUGGUAUUCCUUCAAAUUAAAGUUAAAAUGAUAGAUGAGAGGCAGAUAAUGGAAGGCAAAAGAUGAAGAAAAAGGUUGGUCAUAAUGUGUUAAAACGACAAAUAUGCUUUUGAGAACAAAUCUACUCAAAUCCCUAACUACUCUUACUCCAACUGAUGUGUGCAAGCAAAUAACAAUGUGACCUCGAUCAUCUCAAUGACUCUGUAACAACCCUAUAAAUAUAUAUUUUUAUCUAUCCGGCUACUUUGUACAUGGGAUCAGAACCCUCAAUCAGUGGUAGUUGGCUCAAGAUUUUAAAAGAAGCGGCGAGUUCGGAAUCCUCUCACUUCCAUAUUUACUUGCUUGUUUAAGAAAGAAAAUAAGAAUCCCUGUUCACAAGUGUUAUUUCAUUUUCUUAAUUUUUUAUUUUUGGUACUUAUUUCAUUUUUCUCUAUUCAUUAGGUUUGGAUCCGCGAAAUCUGCACCUGAUCCUUUUUUGAAGGGUGGGGUUAUAUGCACUCUAAAAUUUACUUUGGAUACUCACAUUUUAAUAAUUAUUUAUAUUACUAAAUUAACCUUAUUGUAAUUUACUAUUAAGGACAAUUUUAAUAAAAUAUAGUAUAACAAAUUUUUAUCAAACAUCAUAUUUUAUUUACAAUAAACCACAUCAACAAUUAAGAAUUGAAUCAAUAUUCACGUGGAAACAUUGUCUAUACUUUUGAACUAAGCUUUUUUCAUUUUUUUCCGUUGAUAUAAUUACUAGGAAAACAUCAAGUACCAUGUUCAUGAUCAUCUUUAUAACUGAAACGAAAGGAAUUAAAAACAAAGGUGGAGGAGGAGCAACAAAUUGCACCACUCCAACAUAAGAAAACACAAGUAAAUCAAAGGAUUUUGUUUUAAAUUUGCUCUCCGAUUUGCAUGCUUUUAUGGGUUUGAAAAACAAUUAAAUUGCGUCAAUAAGAGAAGAACAAAUACAGGAGCGGAUGCAGUAUGUGACCAGUGGGGGUUGUAGCCCUGGCUGGCCAAAAGAAAAAACUCUAAGAAUAAAAGAAAAUUUUUUAAAAUUUCUAAUUAGUCCCAAAUAAAUCUAUUAAAAUUGACCUUAUACAUUUAUAAAUUCACAAAAUUUAAACUUUAACUUUUAGAAUUAUAAAAGCCUACAUUAUAAUUAAAAAUAAUGAUAGGUCAUCACCACAAAUGUUUUUCUAUUCUUGAAAAUGCGUUGAGAACAAUUAUAAAUAUAUUAAUAAAUAUUUUUAUAUAUUCAAAGUUUUAGUUUUAAAAUUUUACUAUUAUAUAAUAUAGGCUUUGAUAAAAUAUUUUUUUAGAUCUGAACAAAUACAUAUCAAACCAUAUUAUGAACAGAAAAUAAAAGUGAAUAAAAAUGUAUUAAAAAGUUAGAUAUUUUAUUUGUGAUGAUGAAUAUUUUAUUUGGUAUAAAGAAGAAACAAGGUAAUUAAAGAAAUAAGGACAAUAUAAAAAUUUGAAAGAGUGUUCCAAAUAAAAACUAAUAUUUUUAAAAUUAUUAGUUAAGCGCGCGGACUAAACGAAAUUUCAAAGUAGAUUUUUGCUUUCAAAUAGCCCUACUGUUUUUCGAAUGAUACGUGCAUUAUUAAAUUUUAAAAAAAGUCGGAUGCAGAUCAGCAUCUGGUAUUUGCCACGUAUUUGGAUCCAUUUGUUAAUUAUUAAAAAAAGGAAAAGACAAUAAUAGAGUUUUUUUAUAAAAAAAAAACUGAGACAAAAACAGAGUUAGAGGCGUGUACGUUUCAUAACCUUUUGUUUUUUAAGAAAAUCCUAAACGCAGCCUGCCGACACAAGACAUGAAAGCUGCCAGAGCAGAGAAGUUUAACAGCCGUCUGCCGCUGCCGUUCUAAUCAGCCAAGUCGCCACGGCUACUGCUAGCACAAUGGAAAUUAAUGUACAGAAGUCAACAAUAUUACGGCCUGCCCAAGAAACCCCGAAGCAACGCCUACCAAAUUCUGACUUGGACUUGGUUGCGCCGUCCAAUUACAACCCCCUGGUAUUCUUUUAUCGACGGCCAAAUUAUUCUUCCCCUAAUUUCUUUGAUGCUGGUUUGCUGAAGGAGGCUCUGAAAAAGAUUCUUGUGCCGUUUCACCCCGUGGCUGGAAGGUUGCCC